rnacentral:rRNA from 1 species
AUUGAACGCUGGCGGCAGGCCUAACACAUGCAAGUCGAGCGGCAGCGGGAAAGUAGCUUGCUACUUUUGCCGGCGAGCGGCGGACGGGUGAGUAAUGCCUGGGAAAUUGCCCAGUCGAGGGGGAUAACAGUUGGAAACGACUGCUAAUACCGCAUACGCCCUACGGGGGAAAGCAGGGGACCUUCGGGCCUUGCGCGAUUGGAUAUGCCCAGGUGGGAUUAGCUAGUUGGUGAGGUAAUGGCUCACCAAGGCGACGAUCCCUAGCUGGUUUGAGAGGAUGAUCAGCCACACUGGAAAUGAGACACGGUCCAGACUCCUACGGGAGGCAGCAGUGGGGAAUAUUGCCCAAUGGGGGAAACCCUGAUGCAGCCCUGCCGCGUGUGUGAAGAAGGCCUUCGGGUUGUAAAGCACUUUCAGCGAGGAGGAAAGGUUGAUGCCUAAUACGUAUCAAC